UCAUAUGGCCACAGACAAGUCAAGGCCUGAUGGCUGAACAAUGGCGUUUCCCGUCCUCAGCAAAUAAUGGACGUGUCAUUAUCAGCGGGAAUCCAGAUGUUUUUACCUCACAGAGGUGACGCCUGUGCAGGAGUGACUGACUCCACGUCUGUAACGGCCUGUAGUUUGAGUAAAUGACAGGAGAACUGCGCUAUCCUCUUACAGACGAUAUGUACAGCACAUCAAGUCCAAACUGGUCUUUGAAGGAUGAAGAGGUUCAUUUUAGAAGAUGGAAAAAGUUUUGUGCCUGAGGUAUCAAGCUGCAGGAUUCGGCACAAAGGUUUCAGCCCUUUUCUCAUUUGUUUCUCAUUUGGAUUCGGCCUAAAACCCUCCACUCUCCCGUUCGACUGUUCUGCAAAAACGACGGUUUACACAAGAGGAUCCGCCUUGAGGCGAAGCUGCAGAAGGAGGAGGAGACUUGCAGACGACUGUGAAAGGUGCAAUGACUCAGACGCUUCAGAGAUGAAUUAAAUCCUGACAAGACCCCUGGCACCGCGUCAUUAAUCUCAGUC